GACGAACGCUGGCGGCGUGCCUAAUACAUGCAAGUCGAACGCAGUGGGGACGGGUGAGUAACACGUUGGUAACCUCCCCUCAGAGGGGAUAACCCUUGGAAACAGGUGCUAAACCGAUACUGAUGGAUGGACGCGCGGUGCAUUAGCUAGUUGGUGAGGUAACGGCGCACCAAGGCGACGAUGCAUAGCCGGUCGGAGAGGGUGAUCGGCCACACUGGAACUGAGACACGGCCCAGACUCCUACGGGAGGCAGCAGUAGGGAAUCUUCGGCAAUGGACGAAAGUCUGAUCCAGCAAUGCCGCGUGAGUGAAGAAGGUUUUCGGAUCGUAAAGCUCUGUUGGUAGAGAAGCGGUAUCUAACCAGAAAGCCACGGCUAACUACGUGCCAGCAGCCGCGGUAAUAC
rnacentral:rRNA from 1 species